rnacentral:rRNA from 1 species
CGGCGUGCCUAAUACAUGCAAGUCGAGCGGAAUGAAGAAGAAGCUUGCUUUCUUCUGUAUUUUUAGCGGCGGACGGGUGAGUAACACGUGGGCAACCUACCUUGUAGAUUGGGAUAACUCCGGGAAACCGGGGCUAAUACCGAAUAAUCCAUUUUGCUUCAUGGCGAGAUGUUUAAAAGGCGGCUUCGGCUGUCACUACGAGAUGGGCCCGCGGCGCAUUAGCUAGUUGGUAGGGUAAUGGCCUACCAAGGCGACGAUGCGUAGCCGACCUGAGAGGGUGAUCGGCCACACUGGGACUGAGACACGGCCCAGACUCCUACGGGAGGCAGCAGUAGGGAAUCUUCCACAAUGGACGAAAGUCUGAUGGAGCAACGCCGCGUGAGUGAAGAAGGUUUUCGGAUCGUAAAACUCUGUUGUAAGGGAAGAACACGUACGAGAGUAACUGCUCGUACCUUGACGGUACCUUAUUAGAAAGCCACGGCUAACUACGUG